GCACUGCCGGAGGGGAGGGGUAAGCCAGGCCGGCUCAUUCCCUGCCCACACAAAUGCAGUAGCUUUUAAGGUAUCUAGUAUAAAGGAACGGGGAGGACUCAGUGCGGACUGGAGCUCAGCCUUGGGAUAGAGCGCGCAUCACCCGGCACAUUCUUGGGACUCACGUGUUGGUCUCCUGCCAGGACUGAGAAGGGCUCCCCAGUCUAAGAGUGAAGUGUCACGGGACUUACAACCAGCAGCUGAGCAGUGCCUGGGCAUCUUGACGAGAAAAGUACGGCGAAGAACAAAUGAAAAACAUUACAAAAGAUUUUAUUGAAGACUCACUGGAUUCAUAGACAGUGCUGGAGACCUUCAUUCUGCAUUUGGAGAUGGCUCUCCAAUUCACUACAGCUAUUGGAAUCUUCUGCCGCGGCCCUUUCAAGUUGUAGCCAGGGACAAAGGGAGCCUUUUCACACUCUUCUGGGGUUCCAAUGGCCAUGACUCCUAAGACGCCAGGAGACUGGAGGUGACAUAACCAGCCCAGGACAAGGAGCCUCCACAGUCCCUCCAUCAGUGGUGAUUCAGCUGCUGUGUCGAAGGUGGUGGGAGGACCGUUUGGAGCACAGAGUUCCUGGACCAACACGGAAUCAGACAGCAACACAGAGGUCACUGACAAGGUCCGGCCCACGUCGGGAGUAAAGCCAUUCUUGUCAUGAGUACAUCACAAAAGAACCGCUGCCUGCUACAAUGGCUGGGAUGAUCAGAAUCAUGAAGAAGUCUCUGUUAUGGACAUUGGACUGCAGCAUUAUCAGUUAACCUCUCAGCUCUUGUUG